AUGCAAAUAGGCCUUUGCGUGCCUUCCUCUACCCAAGUGAGCAAGAGCCUUUCUCCAGAAAGAUGCUCUUGCUCCAAGACACUUGACAGCUCUCUUCCUUCCCUGGAUGGCAGCGGCGGGGCCGAGUGGAGUGGGCUGGGAUGGGGCCUGGACUGCGAGGAGCGGGGCUUUGCGCCAGCGCUGGAAAGCCUGUGUGUAUCCUCAGCUUUGAGAACUGAAUUCCAUGGGUUGUGUCAGCGUCAGACCUGUGAAGUUCAGUUCUUCAGCUGGGAUAUCUCUGUCAUCGUGGACUCAGGGACAUUGGAGAGAGCGGACCCAAGGUCGCCUGAAGAACUUGGAACACUGGAGACAGAAGGGCCGAGUCUCAGAAGGAAUAGGGCGGCAGGGAUGAAAGCUGAGCCUACGGACGCUGAUGGUCAAGAAGCGUAA
rnacentral:lncRNA from 1 species